GGGCCCGUAGCUCAGUCAGGUAGAGCAUCUGGCUUUUAACCAGGUGGUCGGGGGUUCGAACCCCCCCGGGCCCG
rnacentral:tRNA from 1 species